GACUCUUUAGCUCACUAGGUUAGAGCACCGAUAUAAAGACUUACUUGACGAUCGGAGGGAGUAGGUUCAAAUCCUUCACAAGUCA
rnacentral:tRNA from 1 species